AAACCAACAGGGAUUGCCUCAGUAACGGCGAGUGAAGCGGCAAGAGCUCAAAUUUGAAAUCCGGCCCCCCUGGGGGCCUGAGUUGUAAUUUGCAGAGGAUGCUUCGGGCGCGACCGCGGUCCAAGUCCCCUGGAACGGGGCGUCGUAGAGGGUGAGAAUCCCGUCUCCGGCCGGCCGGUCUCGCCCGUGUGAAGCUCCUUCGACGAGUCGAGUUGUUUGGGAAUGCAGCUCCAAAUGGGUGGUAAAUUUCAUCUAAAGCUAAAUACUGGUCGGAGACCGAUAGCGCACAAGUAGAGUGAUCGAAAGAUGAAAAGCACUUUGAAAAGAGAGUUAAACAGCAUGUGAAAUUGUUGAAAGGGAAGCGCUUGCGACCAGAGUCGGCCGCGGGGGUUCAGCGGGCAUUCGCUGCCCGUGCAAUCCCCCGCGGCCGGGCCAGCGUCGGUUUCGACGGCCGGUCAAAGGCCCCCGGAAUGUGUCGCCUCUCGGGGCGUCUUAUAGCCGGGGGUGCAAUGCGGCCAGUCGGGACCGAGGAACGCGCUCCGGCACGGACGCUGGCUUAAUGGUCGUCAGCGAC
rnacentral:rRNA from 1 species